rnacentral:rRNA from 1 species
GACGAACGCUGGCGGCGUGCUUAACACAUGCAAGUCGAACGGAAAGGCCCAGCUUGCUGGCUACUCGAGUGGCGAACGGGUGAGUAACACGUGGGUGAUCUGCCUUACUCUCUGGGAUAAGUCUGGGAAACUGGGGCUAAUACCGGAUAUGACCGACUGUCCCAUGGUGGUUGCUGGCAAGCUUUUGCGUUGUGGGAUGGGCCCGCGGCCUAUCAGCUUGUUGGUGGGGUGAUGGCCUACCAAGGCGACGACGGGUAUCCGACCUGAGACGGUGAUCGGCCAAACUGGGACUGAGACAAGGCCCAGACUCCUACGGGAGGCAACGGUGGGGAGUAGUGCCCUGUGGGAGCAGGCCUGAUGCAGCGACGCCGCGUGGGGGAUGACGGCCUGCGGGUUGUAAACCACUUUCACCAGAGACGAAGCGUGAGUGACGGUACCUGGAGAAGAAGCACCGGCCAACUACGUG